GAAGAAUCCCAGUAUGCUUAAAACCAAAGUCUUGGAAGUAGCUAGGUAUCUCUGCAGCUGAUUCCUGUUUCUGUUCGUCAUGGUAAUGGUGGUCCCAGAUGCCAAAAGAUGAGCUCCUCUUCCGCUCUUCCUCACCUCAGCCACAAACAAACACGAGACUGAGCCAUCACGGGCUGAAGCCUAUGAAACUGG